GAUGAAGAACGUAGCGAAAUGCGAUAAGUAAUGUGAAUUGCAGAAUUUAGUGAAUCAUCGAAUGUUUGAACGCACAUUGCGCCCGCCAGUAUUCUGGCGGGCAUGCCUGUUCGAGCGUCAUUUCAACCCUCAGGCCCCCAGUGCCUGGUGUUGGGGAUCGGCAGCAGGGCGUCAAGCCCGCCGGCCCCGAAAUCUAGUGGCGGUCUCGCUGUAGUCCUCCUCUGCGUAGUAGCACAACCUCGCAGUUGGAACGCGGCGGUGGCCAUGCCGUUAAACACCCCACUUCUGAAAGUUGACCUCGGAUCAGGUAGGAAUACCCGCUGAACUUAAGCAUAUCAAUAAGCGGAGGA
rnacentral:misc_RNA from 1 species